GACAGAGGGUGCAAACGUUGCUCGGAAUCACUGGGCGUAAAGGGCGUGUAGGCGGGAAGGAAAGUCAGAUGUGAAAUCCCUGGGCUCAACCCAGGAACUGCAUUUGAAACUCCCUUUCUUGAGUGUCGGAGAGGAAAGCGGAAUUCCUGGUGUAGAGGUGAAAUUCGUAGAUAUCAGGAGGAACACCGGUGGCGAAGGCGGCUUCUGGACGACAACUGACGCUGAGACGCGAAAGCGUGGGGAGGCAAACAGG
rnacentral:rRNA from 1 species